UAUAGCAUAACAUUAUUAAUUUGUUAUAUGGCUUAUAUGAUACUUAUGAUGUAUUCUAUAAUUCCUUAAAAAAAAUGCAGUUUCCUUGUUUUUAUGGGCUAGCGUAAGGUGGUCAAUAUGAAAAUUUAUUCUAUGUUGAGUUGGCCGGAUAUAUAUCUUAAUGCAACCACUCUUUGUGGCAUAAUAGUGGUUCUAUUGUGGCAUUCAUUAGUAUUUUUAAUAUUAAAUUUGGUGGGUCUCACUGUAUGACCCACCCAUUGCUAUCUAACCAUAAGACUCGUUGCUCUAUCCCAUAUUCACAUGAUAGAACUAUAUUACCCUCACCACCUCAGCAAGUCCUUCUUCUUAUGGAUUUACUUUGCAGAUUGCUGUUGCUUUUUCGGAAUUUUCGAUUUGUCACCAAAGGCAAAGCUGUUCUUGACAAUAGUAUAAAUGCACUCUCAUAGCUGUUCUCGACUAUUUCUUGUUUGCUGUUUCUGUUCUUCAAACUCUACUGGCCAGUUUGCUGGGUUUGUUUGUUGAUGCUCGCUGGAUUUUUAUUCAUUUGCGUGUUGAAGAAUUUAAUUUGUUUUAGAACUCCUCAGUUAUAGCAAAUACGCCGAAUCAUAAAUAGCCUCUCAUAGAAGAGGAAGAGAGAAAUAUUUUUAUGUGAAUCAUAAAUAGCCAAUUUUCAAAAGGCCAAAAAAAUCAAGGGGAAAGAUACUUUUCGUUUUCGAUCUUGGUUUUAAUGGUAAUGAAGCUUUGCUCUCGUUGUCCGUAGAGAUAGAGUUGCCCUGUUGCAUAGUUUUUGCACCAGGCAGGCUGUUACUACACACACACACACACACACACACACACACACACACACAUAUAUGAUGGAGGGCCAGUCUUGCAUCUGCUGUUCAAUCAAGAAAAUUAGCUUAGAUCACAAAUUUAAUUUAAUAUUUUUAAUAAAAAAUUUUGCAGCCUUGGCAUGUUAUUUUAGUUCAAUCUUUCUCACUUUGGAAUGAAUAUGCUUUGAUUAUUCGCUCAUGAUAGCUAAGAUGUUUUACAUUCUGUAACUCUUUGAUUUUAGGUGUCAUGUAUGUAGCAUGCUACCUAAAUUUUUAUUAUAUUAUUAUUUAUUGAUAAAUUUUUAUUAAUCACAUUAUCGUUGCAAGGUUUUGUGUUUUAAAAAUGAUAUAUGGUGAUUUCAUAGUCAAUGCAAUAAUAUACAAUAUUUGCAUGUAUAUAACUAAGAAGAAGAAGAAGAACAGGAGGGAAAUCAUUUAUAGUUUCAUGUUUUUUAAUCAUUCCCUUGUUUUGUUAAAUUUCUUUAGUCUUCAUUUAGGUGUGACUAAUUCAUGUUUCUAGAUUCAAAAUAAUUAAUAAUUUUUUUGACUAAUUCAUGUUUCUAGAUUCAAAAUAAUUAAUAAUUUUUUUAA
rnacentral:lncRNA from 1 species